AUUGAACGCUGGCGGCAGGCUUAACACAUGCAAGUCGAGCGGUAGCACAGGGGAGCUUGCUCCCUGGGUGACGAGCGGCGGACGGGUGAGUAAUGUCUGGGAAACUGCCUGAUGGAGGGGGAUAACUACUGGAAACGGUAGCUAAUACCGCAUAACGUCGCAAGACCAAAGAGGGGGACCUUCGGGCCUCUUGCCAUCAUAUGUGCCCAGAUGGGAUUAGCUAGUAGGUGGGGUAAUGGCUCACCUAGGCGACGAUCCCUAGCUGGUCUGAGAGGAUGACCAGCCACACUGGAACUGAGACACGGUCCAGACUCCUACGGGAGGCAGCAGUGGGGAAUAUUGCACAAUGGGCGCAAGCCUGAUGCAGCCAUGCCGCGUGUGUGAAGAAGGCCUUCGGGUUGUAAAGCACUUUCAGCGAGGAGGAAGGUGGUGAGCUUAAUACGUUCAUCAAUUGACGUUACUCGCAGAAGAAGCACCGGCUAACUCCGUG
rnacentral:rRNA from 1 species